rnacentral:rRNA from 1 species
AAUCAACGCUGGCGGCGUGCCUCAGACAUGCAAGUCGAACGAUUAAGACUCCCUUCGGGGAGUGCAUAAAGUGGCGCACGGGUGAGUAACACGUAAGUAAUCUGCCCUCGAGUGGGGAAUAACACCGGGAAACCGGUGCUAAUACCGCAUAAUGCAGCGGCACCGCAAGGUGACAGUUGUUAAAGGAGCAAUCCGCUUGAGGAGGAGCUCGCGGUAGAUUAGCUAGUUGGUAAGGUAAUGGCUUACCAAGGCUACGAUCUGUAACCGGUCUAAGAGGACGGUCGGUCACACUGACACUGAAUAACGGGUCAGACUCCUACGGGAGGCAGCAGUCGGGAAUUUUGGGCAAUGGGCGAAAGCCUGACCCAGCAACGCCGCGUGAAGGAUGAAGUAUUUCGGUAUGUAAACUUCGAAAGAAUGGGAAGAAUAAAUGACGGUACCAUUUAUAAGGUCCGGCUAACUACGUGCCAGCAGCCGCGGUAAUACGUAGGGACCGAAGCGUUGUUCGGAUUUACUGGGCGUAA